AUCAGGAAGGGGGCAUCUUCCCAGGACACAUGAUUUUUUUUUUUUUGUAGACUCAAGGUCUCAUUAUGUUGCUCAGGUUAGUCUCAAACUCCUGGGUUCAAGAGCUCUCCCCACUUUGGCCUUUCAAAAUGCUAGGAUUACAGGAGUGAGCCACCACAUCAGGCAGCUAUUUGUUUAGGACCCAGAAUAGAAAAAUUCCUAUCACUGGGAAAUGAAAUAAUUUGCUCGCAGAGCUAUUAGGCGAAAGGGCUAAGGUCUGACACGAAGCUGUUCAAAGACAGUCACUCUACUAUGUGUUGCCUUUGACAGGCCUUCCCCUCCCUUUGCACUCCAGCUCCAUUUCCCUUUGCCUCUCCUCUGCCCUCAGAUACACAAGGCCCCCAUGCUGCCCUCAGCCACAGCCCCUACUCCAGCACCCUAUCCAAGCCAAGCCAGCCUCCCCCAGAGAACCACAUGUUCCAAACAAAAUGCACCCUCUUAUACUAGUGCCAGAGUAAAAGCAAUGCAAGCAGCAACUACUUUUUCUUGUUAUUGAGAAACACCUAGUCUAAUUAGAUAAGGAUAAUUAAUUCUUAAUUUCUUCUGAUGAAGAGUUUUCUUGCAGUAGAACAACUUUACCCCAUUCCAACAAUGUUUAUCAUUUAGAAAAGCUUUAAAGAGACUUCUGCUUGAGUCUCUGACCCAAGUAAUCCUGUGAUACCUACACAGGGCUAACUACUAGUCUUGGCCUCCUGUAUGUUUUAACCACCUCACCCUUUCAUCAAUGAAUCCUAUCUGCUCUUCAGAUGCUGGGAGCAUACUAGAUAAGUAGAUAAUUUUAAAAGUAUCCAUUCAAAAAUAGGCAUUUCAUGCCUAUAAUCCCAGCAUUUUGAGAGGUUGAGGCAGGAGGAUUGCUUGAGCCCAGGAGUUUG
rnacentral:lncRNA from 1 species